rnacentral:lncRNA from 1 species
CAACACUAAGCGAAUUAUAUUAUUGCAACUAUUGCAUAGGGUUGAUCAUCAAUCAUACUGACGAUUUUACACUCAAACGAUUCUCAAUCAUCAAUCUACUAAUUGAUCGAAGAGAAAUUUCUAAUAUAUGUGAUCUCAUAGGUUCAAACCUAAGUCAAUAGUACAAGAAUAAAUUUUUGAACUAAUCGAAGUGACCAUCUAGUAAUAGUACCCG